rnacentral:lncRNA from 1 species
AACGUCCUGCAUCAAGGAAGUAUACAGUUUAAGUUCGGGAUAACAAAUAGAAAAUGUGAUAUGAUUGUAAAUGAGAUUACUACGCACCAGACUUAGAUAUGAGCAAAUGUAGGCCACCAUACGGCCUUCAACAAUGAAAUGAGCCAAAACCCAUAUGGUAUAGUAAAUAUUUUAACAAAAUAAAUAAAAAGCAAACCACAAUGCCUUGAACAUAUGUACAAAACAAUAAACAAACAAAAAAACCCAGAAAAUGACAGAGAGAAAAGAGCACCCAUCGACAGCAGCUAAAGUAUAUUCACCA